CUUUGUAGUUAAUCCGAUUGUUGUUCCGUAACAGGGUGCUGCUCGCAAAUUAGCUACACAGAGAAAGAAUAUAGAGGUCGCUGAAUUUGCUGGUGUAGCAGCGAAGCGAGUGAAGCUGCUAGCAUAUUUAAUUAAAAAAGAAGGGAUCAAUGUACUUUUAUUAAAACACGACCAACAACAACAACGACUAGGGUUCCCUUUCCCACUUCAACAGAGAUUCAGCGGCAACAGAUUCUGACAGACAUGAGUCAAGAAAGACCUUCAAAGCCCAAAAGAAAGACAAGUGCGACAUACGCAAAACCUGGAACAAUGGCAUUUUUGGCAAAUCAAAUAAGGAGUUCGUUUAGCCAAAAAUAUGGUGUUCCCGCUAGACAAUCAAAGAAAGAUCUUUCGAAUAUUAUUGAAGAGAAUCUGCCACAAUAUCCAGGAGUAGUAGCCUAUGUACAAACUAGAUCAACCACUGCUGCAAAAUAUGUUGUUCCUGCUAAACAAUCAAACAAAGAGCAUCCGAAUAUUAUUGAAGAGAAUCUGCUACUGCCACAAUAUUCAGGAGUGGCAGCUCAUGUACAAACUAGAUCAACCACUCCUGCCACACAAGUAAUAGAUGAACAAGUGGAGGAAUAAGUUCAGUUGGAUUCUACAACUCCUACUGUAGAUGAACAAUCUGAAGAACAAGGCCAUUCUAUUCAACCAAGAAAAAGAGGUAGAACAAAGAUGAAAAAUGUACAUGGACGCCAGGAGCGUAAAGUGAUUUUACUUAACCACUUAAAUCAACCCGUUGGUCCUAGCGAAAAAGUUAUGACGGAGUUUGGAAGCUUCCUCGGCACAUUGCAAGGAAUGCGACUCUAUGUCCUCUUGAUAUUUUGGAUUGGAGGAAGAUGGACACAAAAGAGGAUAUAUGGGAAUAUACCAAGGUCUGAACUUCUUAAUUUUUAGUU